GAAUCCAAAGAUCUGAUAAACCCACCUCCUAUGGCACCCCAAACUUAGAGAAGCUGAAACACCAAUGAUCGAAGGAUUUAGAUGAGAAUCUGACAAACGCCACAACAAAUAGUUGAUAAGUUAAUCGAGAUUCCUGGUGCAAUUGAUGAAAGCAAAUCCUCACUCUCACUCAAAGCAAUACACGCCAAAGGCAUGAAAAUAAUUCUGAUAAUUUGAUUCAAAGCUGUCUCUUACAAUUGUUUCUUAUCCUUAUAUAGUAAGGAGAAAAACAAUUAAAACCCUAAGACACUCUUCUUGGGCCUGACUUAAACACAUAAGGCCCAAGCCCAAUCACAUACUAAAAUAACACAUAAGUAUUAAAACAUAAGCCCAAAAACAUGGCCCAACACUCUAAAACUUAAAAGGUAAAAUAUGGCCAGAAUACAAGCCCA
rnacentral:lncRNA from 1 species